UACGAAGGGGGCUAGCGUUGUUCGGAAUCACUGGGCGUAAAGCGUAUGCAGGCGGAUCGCUAAGUCAGGGGUGAAAUCCCGAGGCUCAACCUCGGAACUGCCUUUGAUACUGACGAUCUUGAGUCCGGGAGAGGUGAGUGGAACUGCGAGUGUAGAGGUGAAAUUCGUAGAUAUUCGCAAGAACACCAGUGGCGAAGGCGGUUCACUGGCCCGGUACUGACGCUGAGAUACGAAAGCGUGGGGAGCAAACAGGG
rnacentral:rRNA from 1 species